rnacentral:rRNA from 1 species
UACGUAGGGGUCUAGCGUUGUCCGGAAUUAUUGGGCGUAAAGAGCUCGUAGGCGGUGUGUCGCGUCGGCCGUGAAAACCUGCAGCUUAACUGUGGGCUUGCGGUCGAUACGGGCAUCACUGGAGUUCGGCAGGGGAGACUGGAAUUCCUGGUGUAGCGGUGAAAUGCGCAGAUAUCAGGAGGAACACCGGUGGCGAAGGCGGGUCUCUGGGCCGAUACUGACGCUGAGGAGCGAAAGCGUGGGGAGCGAACAGG